rnacentral:rRNA from 1 species
AUUGAACGCUGGCGGCAUGCUUUACACAUGCAAGUCGAACGGCAGCGCGGGGCAACCUGGCGGCGAGUGGCGAACGGGUGAGUAAUAUAUCGGAACGUACCCAGAAGUGGGGGGGAACGUAGCGGAAGUUACGCUAAUACCGCAUACGAUCUACGGAGGAAAGAAGGGGACCGCAAGGCCUUAUGCUUUUGGAGCGGCCGAUAUCUGAUUAGCUAGUUGGUGAGGUAAAGGCUCACCAAGGCGACGAUCAGUAGCUGGUCUGAGAGGACGACCAGCCACACUGGAACUGAGACACGGUCCAGACUCCUACGGGAGGCAGCAGUGGGGAAUUUUGGACAAUGGGCGCAAGCCUGAUCCAGCAAUGCCGCGUGAGUGAAGAAGGCCUUCGGGUUGUAAAGCUCUUUUGUCAGGGAAGAAACGGUAGAGGCUAAUAUCCUUUGCUAAUGACGGUACCUGAAGAAUAAGCACCGGCUAACUACGUG